GAUGAACGCUGGCGGCGUGCCUAAUACAUGCAAGUCGAGCGAAUGGAUUAAGAGCUUGCUCUUAUGAAGUUAGCGGCGGACGGGUGAGUAACACGUGGGUAACCUGCCCAUAAGACUGGGAUAACUCCGGGAAACCGGGGCUAAUACCGGAUAACAUUUUGAACCGCAUGGUUCGAAAUUGAAAGGCGGCUUCGGCUGUCACUUAUGGAUGGACCCGCGUCGCAUUAGCUAGUUGGUGAGGUAACGGCUCACCAAGGCAACGAUGCGUAGCCGACCUGAGAGGGUGAUCGGCCACACUGGCACUGAGACACGGCCCAGACUCCUACGGGAGGCAGCAGUAGGGAAUCUUCCGCAAUGGACGAAAGUCUGACGGAGCAACGCCGCGUGAGUGAUGAAGGCUUUCGGGUCGUAAAACCCUGUUGUUAGGGAAGAACAAGUGCUAGUUGAAUAAGCUGGCACCUUGACGGUACCUAACCAGAAAGCCACGGCUAACUACGUGCCAGCCGCCGCGGUAA
rnacentral:rRNA from 1 species